rnacentral:rRNA from 1 species
CCUGGUAGUGGGGGACAACGUUUCGAAAGGAACGCUAAUACCGCAUACGUCCUACGGGAGAAAGCAGGGGACCUUCGGGCCUUGCGCUAUCAGAUGAGCCUAGGUCGGAUUAGCUAGUAGGUGGGGUAAUGGCUCACCUAGGCGACGAUCCCUAGCUGGUCUGAGAGGAUGACCAGCCACACUGGAACUGAGACACGGUCCAGACUCCUACGGGAGGCAGCAGUGGGGAAUAUUGCACAAUGGGCGCAAGCCUGAUGCAGCCAUGCCGCGUGUAUGAAGAAGGCCUUCGGGUUGUAAAGUACUUUCAGCGGGGAGGAAGGCGGUGGAGUUAAUAACUUCACCGAUUGACGUUACCCGCAGAAGAAGCACCGGCUAACUCCGUGCCAGCAGCCGCGGUAAU